rnacentral:rRNA from 1 species
UACGUAGGGUGCGAGCGUUGUCCGGAAUUAUUGGGCGUAAAGGGCUCGUAGGCGGUUUGUCGCGUCGGGAGUGAAAACACUGGGCUUAACUCAGUGCUUGCUUCCGAUACGGGCAGACUAGAGGUAUUCAGGGGAGAACGGAAUUCCUGGUGUAGCGGUGAAAUGCGCAGAUAUCAGGAGGAACACCGGUGGCGAAGGCGGUUCUCUGGGAAUGUCCUGAUGCUGAGGAGCGAAAGUGUGGGGAGCGAACAGG